ACUUAACAAUUCUUCCAUUGCAAGAGCCACCAGAAAAUUUCUCAUUUGUCAGAGGAUAUUUUUUCCAAUGUCAAGGAUACUUCACAGAGAUGAUAGCACCCAUUUUGGCCAGCUUUGACACCUAUUUCUCCUUAGUUGGAAGCAUUAAAUUUUGAUGAUGUUGGAGCCUUUGCAGAGGAACUGUGGUAACUUUUCAUUGUCUUAGAACUGAAAUUCUGGAACAAGAACUGCUACUACCUAUCAGCAAUGCAGGAGGAGCUCCCUUUCUAUGGAAAGUUAGAUGGAAGUAUCCUGGAAUGGUUGUCAAAGCUGGAUGUUUUGUUUCUUGCUGUUUGCUUUGCAAGGGAUAUGGAAUUAGCAAGAGUGGUCCAUUGGUAGACGAUUGUUCAUAGUCCAAGUCUCCAAGAAUCAAAAUGGAGGGAAUUUAAAAUUGGUUCCAAUGAAAUUGUUUCAUCGAAAUUUGGUAACUUUUUAUCUCUUCAAGAACUGAAGUCAGGAACAAGAGUGCUACUACCUACCAGCAAAGUAGGUGGUGCACUGCCUUUCCUAGGGAAGCUAAAUGAAGAACUGAAGCUUGAAUUGGUUCCAAAUUUCCAAUCUAAUUGUUUCAUUGAAAUUCAAUCAUGCAAGAAUCCCAUAAGCCAAUGCUUGAGCAUCAUUCAACAUCUCUCUUAAAUUUCUCUCUGUUAUAGAAGAAAAAAGAGCAACAAAACGAACAUAUAUUUGAAGGCAUAAAUACGCUAUGACAAUGGCUCUACUUGACUGCAUGCAAAGAUAUGGUGACAAUACUAAAGCUUCUCCAAGGUAAUUCCAACCAUGCCAUCAUGAUUUAAGCAUCCUACAGAAACUUGUGUCUUGGUCCUGGUGGUAGAGAGGUUUCCGAAUGGUUGGCCUACCUUCUCAUCUCCUUCAUUUGGAAAGGACCAUGACCUAGAAGAAGGAAAAUGUUCAUCAUUACAAGAAAUGAGUUUCCACAAAAUUGAAGGGGAAGAUGUGCUUUCUCUAGUGAUAUCCAAGGCAAUGAGUCCAAAGAGAACUCCUGGUGAUAUGGGUGUGAUAUGAGGGAUGCUGUGACUUUGCUCCAACAUGAGGAAUUUUCCAAAUACACAACUCUGAAUGCAGUUAAAAACACAACUUCGCCCAUGCCAAUUUCCACUGACAACUGAUGCCAAGGCACUUCAGGCACUAGGGACGGCACAUCUGUUGUAUUCAGCUAGAUGAAAAUUUACAUUAUGAAGUUUUAAUCCACUCCCAAGCCAACACAAGUUUUAGUUGGUAUGUUUUCUCAAUUUACUAUUCUCUUCUAGAACAUCAAGUCAUUCGGUGUGUCUGGUGUUUUUAUUGCUUAGCUAAACAGUUUGAAAUGCCCUUCACUUGAUCCUCAUUAUUCAAAGAACUAAAAUAUUUCAAUAAGUUAAAUAUGGUUCCUCGAUAUGCAAGCACUGGGAAUGGCAUAUUGAUUCAGUUCAGAUAGAGGAAAAGUUAAUUCAUGGAGCUUCAAUCCACUACCAAGCCAGCAGAGAGGUUGAAUAUUCAACAUUGCCCCAAGUUAAAGGAAAUAUGUGCAAAAUGGAGCGUGCAGAGUGGUCUAGGAUUGUCCACACUUGAAAUAUCUUCGUUGGUGAAUGUAUUAGACAAGAAGCAGUUUGAAGAUGACAUACAUCGUGAAUACAGAUGACCAAUCUGAAGUUCAGGAACAAGAGUGCUACUACCCACUAGCAAAGCAGGUGGUGUGCUCCCUUUCUAUUGAAGCUAAAUGGAAGUUUUCUGGAGUGGUUGUCAAAGCUGUAUCUGGAAGCUUGAAUUGGUUCCAAACUUCCAAUUUAAUUGUUUCACUGAAAUUUCCAGGAAAUAGCUAUAAAGUUCAUAUAUAUGCUUAUGUGCACAAAUGCAUUUAUUCCAGAACCAAGCAAGAAUCCCAUAAGCCAAUGCUUGAGCAUCAUUCAUCUCUCUUAAAUUGCUCUCUAUUACAGGAGAUAAAAGGAGCAAAAAAAUUAACAUAUAUUUGAAGGCAUAAAUACACUACGACAGUGGCUCUACUUGACUACAUGCAAAGAAAUGGAGACAAUACUGAAUAUCCUACCAGCCCUUCUUUGAAGCUUCUCCAAGGUUCAAAGUGGUUGGCCUAGCCUUCAUUUGGAAAGGAUCAUGACCUAGAAGAAGGAACAUGUUCACCAUUACAAGAAAUGAGUUCCCAAAAAAUUAAAGGAGAAGGUCAAGAAUUUGAGACAUACUCUCAGCAUGAAGAAACAUAAUCAGGAUGUUAGCACCACACCCAUUUUGGGAUUUCAGGUUGGAUGAUGAUGAAGUUGAGAAGAUGCUGAUUUCUUUGGAGGUCCAACAUUGAAUCAAAGUUGGCUCCUGAGGGGUUCAAUCAAAGCCACCAGACAUAAUCCAAGAGCAAUACAUAAGAAUUUUGGGAAGCAUGUUUUGUCAAGCACAAUCAUUCUUAGUGUUAAAAAGAAAAACAGUAGCCUACAAGUCUUAAAAAGGACAUUAACUGAAACUGCAACUGAAAAGUUGGUAUCAGCUUUUGGUGUGGUAUCAGGAAUUCAGAGUGCUUUCCACAAACUUAUUUGACCACAACAGUUCCACAAACUUAUUCUGUCUUUGUUGCUACUGAAAGAGGAAAGCAAAUUAAUAAUGGUGAGCAAAUAUGGAUAAGGUUGUUUCAGUGAAGGAGAAUCUAAUGCAUAAACUUGAUCCCAGGGAAGAUGUGCUUUCUCUAUUGAUAUCCAAGGGAAUGAGUCCAAAGAGAACUCCUGGUGAUAUGGGUGUGGUAAGAGGGGUGCUGUGACUUUGCUCCAACAUGAGGAAUUGUCCAAAUACACAGCUAUGAGUUUAGUUAGAAACACAAAAUUUGGCUAAAGACUCACCAUCACACACUCGGAUCUCAGCCGACUUGAUGAGAACUGAUGUCGAGGUACUUCUGGUCAGCAGCCAACCAUUGGCUUUUUCUUUAUCAUUUGGGAUAUGUAUAUGUUGUUUAAUUUGUAAUUGGUGCUAUACAAGAACCCAUCCAGUAACUUAUAAAAUAGGAGUGAAAAGUUCUGUAAGUUAAGUCACUUAUAAACAUCAAAAUCAAUGGAAAAUACAUCCAAGGGGAGGAUUCUGAGGACUCUAAAGACUUUGACAAAGCUGAAGACAUCUUUGACAACUCUGACUAUGAAGACUUUGACGACUCUAAAGAUGAUAGAGAUGAUUACUUGCAAGAAGAUUCCAUCUUGGAAAAUAACCAACUUGAUGACAACUAAUGCCAAGGUACUUCAGUUUGACACCUAUUUCUCCUUAGUUGGAGGCAUUAAAUUUUGUUGAUGUUGGAGCCUUUGCAGAGGAGCUGUGGUAACUUUUCAGCGUCUUAAGAACUGAAAUUCUGGAACAAGAACUGCUACUACUUAUCAGCAAUGCAGGAGGUGUUCCCUUUCUGUGGAAAGCUAGAUAGAAGUAUCCUGGAAUGGUUGUUGAAGCCGGAUGUUUUGUUUCUUACUGGCCGCUUUGCAAGGGAUAUGAAAUCAGCAUGAGUGGUCAUUGAUAGAAGAUUGUUCAGUCCAAGAAUCGCAGUGGAGAGAAUUUAAAAUUGAUUACAAUGAAAUUGUUUCAUCGAAAUUUGGUAAUUUUUUAUCUCUUCAAGAACAGAAGUUCAGGAGCAGGAGUGCUACUACCUACCAGCAAAGCAGGUGGCCAACUCACUUUCCAUGGAAAGCUAAAUGAAGAACUGAAGCUUGAAUUGGUUCCAAAUUUCCAAUCUAAUUGUUUCAUUGAAAUUUGAGAUAAAAGGAGCAACAAAACCAACAUAUAUUUGAAGGCAUAAAUACACUGAAAAUGGCUCUACUUGACUACAUGCAAAGAAAUGGUGACAAUACUAAAAGUCCUAUCAGCCCCUCUUUGAAGCUACUCCAAGGUUCAAAGUGGUUGCCUACCUCCUCAUCUCCUACAUUUGGAAGGAUCUUCACCCAGAAAGAAUAUGUUCAUCAUUACAAGAAAUGAGUUCCCACCAAAUUGAAGACGGCCAAGAAUUUGAGACUUACUCUCAGCAUGAAGAAACAUAAUUGGGAUGCUAGCACCACACCUUCUUGGGUUGUCAAGUUGGAUGAUGAUGAAGAUGAAGAAGAUCCUGAAUUCUAUGGAGCCCCAGCAUUUGAAUCAAGGUUGGCUCCUGAGGGGUACAAGGAAACCACUAGACAUAAUCCAAGAGCAAUACAUAAGAAUUUCAGGAAGCAUGUUUUGGAAAGCACUGUCAAUCUUACUAUUAAAAAUUAAAACAGAUGCCUACAAUUCUUAAAAGGACAUUAACUGAAACUGUUAUUGAAAAUUUGGCAUCAGCUUUCACUGCGAUAUCAAAAAUUCAGAGUGAUUUCCACAAAUUUAUUCUGUCUUUGUUGCUACUGAAAGAGGAAAGCAAGAUAAUAAGGGUGAGCAAAUAUCGACAAGUUUGUUUCAGUGAAGGAGUAUCUAAUGCAUAAACUUGAGCCUAGGGAAGAUGUGCUUUCUCCAAUGAUAUCCAAGGCAAUGAGUCCAAAGAGAGCUCCUGGUGAUAUGGGUGUGGUACGAGGGAUGCUGUGACUUGCUCCAACAUGAGGAAUUUUCCCAAUACACAGCUAUGAGUUCAGUUGGAAACCAAACAUUGCCCAUGCCAAUUUCCACCAAUUUGUAUUCAGCUAAAGACUCGCCAUCACACACUCAGAUCUCAGCCAAUGCUCAUAAAUUUUUUUUUUUUUUUUUUGGGUGUCAAUUUUGAUCCUGCAUGUAUAUGGAGACAACUUAAUGAGCUUCAAUUAGUUUUUCACUCCAAUGUACCAAUACUAAAAACCAUCACCAUCAUAAAUGCAUUAUCUAAUGCUAACUAUUCUUUUGAAGUUCCAUUGUAUAGUCUUUGGUAACCAUGGGAUGCAUUUGAUAAUGGUAUGAGAUCACUUGGUCAAA